UACGAAGGGGGCUAGCGUUGCUCGGAAUUACUGGGCGUAAAGCGCACGUAGGCGGCUCUUUAAGUCGGGGGUGAAAUCCUGGAGCUUAACUCCAGAACUGCCUUCGAUACUGGAGAGCUCGAGUCCGGGAGAGGUGAGUGGAACUGCGAGUGUAGAGGUGAAAUUCGUAGAUAUUCGCAAGAACACCAGUGGCGAAGGCGGCUCACUGGCCCGGUACUGACGCUGAGGUGCGAAAGCGUGGGGAGCAAACAGG
rnacentral:rRNA from 1 species